CCUCCCCCAGGAUCCUCUCCAUCAGAAAACAGUUUACUGCAGAAACUAUGCUUUUUUAUCGGGAAAAUUUUUACUUUUCUCAAAAGAAAAAUUUAUAAACACGGAAACCUUAAAUAUUUAAAUAAUUUUCAUACCUUUUUGGGAUUGCAAAAAGUAAAAUUUGAUUCAUUAUCUGACUUUUUAAAAUAUAUGUGACAAAGUUGCUUCGAAAUCACUAUCACGCAGUAGCAUGUUUAUUUACCCUCAUCCUUUUGACUGAAUAAAGUUUAUCUUUUUGAAAAGCUAUUUGUUUUAUAGCUCUUGGUUAGCAGUUUACGUUUAUGUCGAUUUUGGCACCCAUGAGGCCAACAAGUUCUGGUAUUCUGCGAAUGAAAACUGAUAUUCGAAGAGCACAAAAGCCAACUCCUAGCUAUGUAACUUUAUCGCCUGAAUUUUGAAUCAAUCCACAAUUAAAUUUCUGGUAAUGUAGAUGCUUUCCAUACUUGAGAUGUUAGUGAAGUUUUUCCAACAAUUUAAUUUCCUUGAUCGUCGUCUUAAAAAUGCAAAAUCAUCAGUUGAAAUUUCACUCGUGUUGUUUUUUCAAAUUUUCGAAUUUUUGUAAAAUAUCGCGUGCGCCAGCAAUUUCUCUGCACAGCGACAACAAAUUUCCCAGCUGUUCCG
rnacentral:lncRNA from 1 species